ACCUGAACAGCAAAAGACAAAUGGGCAAAGUGUGAAGCUCGAGGUCAAAGGUAGGUGGAUGCCGGAGGAAGAAGGGCAAAGUGCGAAGCUUGAGGUCAAAGGUAGGUGGAUGACAAAGGGGUAAUUCAAUGGCCUGAGAAAGUAGUACACCCACCCCCUAUCGAUCGUCCCUUCCGGUGGUAGUGAGGGAUGGAUCCCAAGAGGAGAAAGACCCAAGACUUUGCAGACGAGGCUGAUUCCACUGCUGCGGAUACUGGGAAUUCGGGUAUAGCGGAGUCCCAAGCCACUGAUUCGAAGGCCGAGCCUGUGGAACUCAAUGCAGAAACCCGAAAGAGUCAUUACCCCAAACUUGUGGAAAAUAGGAAAAGCACUCUGAAUUCGUUUUCGUGAGCAUCAGGGGCUUCCCCGAAGGCAGCGUGAGCAGGGGUGGCUUGGUCAGCUGUGGUGGAGCAUGUAUGUAUUUUUAUCAUUGUAUAUAUAGAGAGAGAGGUCUAGUUGUCCCAUCCCCCAUCCCCCCACACACACAUAUAUAUAUAGAGAGAGAAGUCUAUUUGCAACUCCAACCAGUUUUUUUCAUAACCAUGAUAGAAGCAUUCUCUAAGAGCAACCUGAGUCCUGCUGUGAUCAAUGUUGGAUUAUCUUCCAACAUCUCUAAUUUAAUUUACAUUGCUAAAUGCAACGGCUUAGCCCUCUUUGAAACUCACGCCCUCUAACUAUCCCUCUUGGGGUGCUCAACUCCAUGUUCUCCUUUGUGUGUGAUUAUGAUUUAGUGGUGUAUUUUGAAGGCACAUAACCAUGCCCUAAAUCCAUCAUUGUCAUUCUAAUCUAGCAUAUAUCCAUUGGAAACGCCAAGGUAGUCUUCUGCUUCAUGCAAUAUUUGCAUCUUUAUCAGAAUCAGUCAUGCCAUUGAUCUCACGGGCUACAUCACCUCACAAAGCAUGGACCAAACUGGCCACCAUCUAUGUCAAUCAAUCUCGGACAAGAAUUAUGGACCUUAAAAUUACCUUGCUGAGGUUACCAAAGGCUCAAAAUCUGUCAGAGUAUAUGCAAAUAGUCCAAAUUAUCAAAGAUGAACUGGCCAUCAUUAAUGUUCCUAUUGAUGAAAGCGAUCUUACCAGUAGAGUACUUGGCAACCUUAGUUUAGAUUUCAAAGAAAUAUCUGUUGCCAUACUAUCAAGAGACACAUCAAUAACCUUUGCAGAGCUCCAUAACAGACUUGUGGAACAUGAAGGUUUCCUUAAGCUCGAGGAAAAGCAUUGAGGAAUUCUAUCGCUACUAACUACUCUCAACAUAAUGACAAUUACGAGUUUUGUGGCAAUCAAUUCUUUAAUAAGGACAAUCAUUUUUCUUCUCAGAUCAACAACCAUGUUAUUGGUGCUUAAUCUUUCAGCGCCAAUCAGAAUUGACAUCACCUAAAUAAGAACUAGAAGCCUCAAGUCUUGCCAAUACAAUGAUAAGGCAUGUCAUACAGCAAAGCAAUGCUACAAAAUUUGAAAGCACUUUAGAUUUUGAAUAACUUGAUGGAUGGAUCAUCAAUAAACCUCCCAGGAAUGCACUUUAGAUUUACUGUUGGCAGCCAUCUGAAGCCCAUAAUAUCCCGACUACCACUUGAAGCUAUAGCUAAAUUUGAAGAAGAAGAAAGAUGCUUGAAGUAUGUGAAUGGUAAAGGUGUCCCAACUAAAAUUGAGGAGGCACUUGAGCUCGCUACAGCAUUGUUCCUGGAUCGCCAUUCAACUGCUACCAGUUUAUCUGAGUUUGGAAUUGAAAAUAUGAGGAAUCUAAAAGUUUGUGUAUUAGGCGAAUGUGAUGAGAUUCAAACCAUUACGAUGCAGGUGAAGAUGAUGAUGGAGGUGUUGUACUUAAAUCACUAGAGUAUUUGAAUCUUUAUUAUAUGAAGAAUUUAAGGAGCAUUUGGAAGGGGCCACUUGGAUGGCGUUCUCUAUCACAUCUAAAAGCUUUGGUGCUGCAUACAUGCCCCCAAUUGACUACCAUUUUUACUUGGAAUGAGGCUUUUUAUCUCAUUAACUUAGAGGAGCUUGUAGUUGAAGAUUGCCCCAAAAUUGAAAGCAUAGUAGUGACUCCUGAUCCUACUGCUACUGAACCAAGAUUGUGGAGAGCAAGGUAUUUAUUCCUAAAGUUGAGGAAGAUAUCACUUCAUUACAUGACUAAACUGGUCAGCUUUUCCAAUGGUCUACGCAUUUCACCAAUAUUACAAUGGAUGAGCUUCUAUGAUUGUCCAAGCCUCAAAACUCUUUCCCCAGAGGAAGUUCACAGUAAUGAAUUGAAAGUGAUAAUAGGAGGGGCAGAAUGGUGGAGAGAAUUGAAGUGGAACAAAUCAGAAUGGCUUCAGCCACCCAAUCUGGAUGCUAUCUUUCAUCCAAUUGAACAGGACACAUAUUUCAUUACACGUCUAGCAGAAAUUAACGAUCAACUUCGAGCUAGGAUGCAAGAAACAGAGCUUUCUCAACAGUCAGGUUGUUUUUCCAUUCCUCUUUUUCUUCAAAGAUAAAACACUGAUCUCCAUUUUAUCUUACUUACACUUGGUACAUUGUCCUAUUAUAUAUUUGAACCUCUCUCCAAGGGUAAAUGAUUCAUUAUAGGAUUUUAGAUUGCUAGUUUUCGUCCAAACCCUUUAUUUUCUUUUGAUAUGACUUCUUUAAUUGCAAAAUAAUCUAUGCCCACAUGGACAUUUGAACGAAGCAUAAAUUCUCAACAACAUUUGUAUUAUCUAUGUCCAAGUUUCGUAUUCAGCUGUCUCAUUUUUGGUAUUUUUUUUCUUGUCUAUGAGGGACAUGCAGGUCUUGGUGACUCCCUGAAGGCUCCAACCGUCCAUGAUGGAACAAGCUCAAAGCAAAAGCAAGUUGCUUAGCUUUACCUAAUAUGUACUAUUAAGCUUGAGUUACAUAUUAUGGCUAAUUUCCCAAUAGCGGCUGACUGUCUUAAGUGGCAUUUGUUUUUUUGGCUUAAUUCUAAAUAGAACUUAUAUUUAACUUAA